rnacentral:rRNA from 1 species
UACGUAGGGUGCAAGCGUUAAUCGGAAUUACUGGGCGUAAAGCGUGCGCAGGCGGUUUUGUAAGUCUGUCGUGAAAGCCCCGGGCUCAACCUGGGAAUGGCAAUGGAUACUGGCAGGCUAGAGUGCGGUAGAGGGUAGUGGAAUUCCCGGUGUAGCGGUGAAAUGCGUAGAGAUGUGGAGGAAUACCGAUGGCGAAGGCAGCCCCCUGGGAUAACACUGACGCUCAUGCACGAAAGCGUGGGGAGCAAACAGG